GACGAACGCUGACGGUGUGCUUUAGACAUGCAAGUCGAACGAGAAAGCCCUUCGGGUGAGUACAGUGGCGAACGGGUGAGUAACACGUGGGCAAUCUGCCCCUCGGCCGGGGGAUAACCCGGGGGAAACCCCGGCUAAUACCCCGUACGCUUGUGGAGCCGCAUGGCUCCACAAGGAAAGGUAGCUUCGGCCAUCCGGCGAGGGAUGAGCCCGCGGUACAUUAGCUAGUUGGUGGGGUAACGCCUACCAAGGCGACGAUGUAUAGCUGGUCUGAGAGGACGAUCAGCCACACUGGGACUGAGACACGGCCCAGACUCCUACGGGAGGCAGCAGUGGGGAAUAUUGGACAAUGGGCGCAAGCCUGAUCCAGCAAUGCCGCGUGAGUGAGGAAGGCC
rnacentral:rRNA from 1 species